rnacentral:rRNA from 1 species
UGCAGUCGAGCGAAUCUUUGGGAGCUUGCUCCCAUUGGUUAGCGGCGGACGGGUGAGUAACACGUGGGCAACCUGCCUGUAAGACUGGGAUAACUUCGGGAAACCGGAGCUAAUACCGGAUAAUCCAUUUCCUCUCAUGAGGAAAAGCUGAAAGUCGGUUUCGGCUGACACUUACAGAUGGGCCCGCGGCGCAUUAGCUAGUUGGUGAGGUAACGGCUCACCAAGGCGACGAUGCGUAGCCGACCUGAGAGGGUGAUCGGCCACACUGGGACUGAGACACGGCCCAGACUCCUACGGGAGGCAGCAGUAGGGAAUCUUCCACAAUGGACGAAAGUCUGAUGGAGCAACGCCGCGUGAGCGAUGAAGGCCUUCGGGUCGUAAAGCUCUGUUGUUAGGGAAGAACAAGUACCGGAGUAACUGCCGGUACCUUGACGGUACCUAACCAGAAAGCCACGGCUAACUACGUGCCAGCAGCCGCGGUAAUACGUAGGUGGCAAGCGUUGUCCGGAAUUAUUGGGCGUAAAGCGCGCGCAGGCGGUCCUUUAAGUCUGAUGUGAAAGCCCACGGCUCAACCGUGGAGGGUCAUUGGAAACUGGGGGACUUGAGUGCAGAAGAGGAAAGCGGAAUUCCACGUGUAGCGGUGAAAUGCGUAGAGAUGUGGAGGAACACCAGUGGCGAAGGCGGCUUUCUGGUCUGUAACUGACGCUGAGGCGCGAAAGCGUGGGGA